rnacentral:rRNA from 1 species
UACGGGGGGGGCAAGCGUUGUUCGGAAUUACUGGGCGUAAAGGGCUCGUAGGUGGCCAACUAAGUCAGACGUGAAAUCCCUCGGCUUAACCGGGGAACUGCGUCUGAUACUGGAUGGCUCGAGUUUGGGAGAGGGAUGCGGAAUUCCAGGUGUAGCGGUGAAAUGCGUAGAUAUCUGGAGGAACACCGGUGGCGAAGGCGGCAUCCUGGACCAACACUGACACUGAGGAGCGAAAGCUAGGGGAGCAAACAGG